rnacentral:rRNA from 1 species
UACGUAGGGCGCAAGCGUUGUCCGGAAUUAUUGGGCGUAAAGAGCUCGUAGGUGGUUUUGUCGCGUCUGCCGUGAAAGCCCGGGGCUUAACUCCGGGUCUGCGGUGGAUACGGGCAGACUAGAGGCAGGUAGGGGAGAACGGAAUUCCCGGUGUAGCGGUGAAAUGCGUAGAUAUCAGGAGGAAUACCGGUGGCGAAAGCGACUCUCUGGACGGCAACUGACGCUGAGGCACGAAAAGCGUGGGGGAGCAAAACAGGG